GGACUAUGGUACCUGUCCACCCAGCCACUGCUGUUUCUAAUUGAAUCAAAUGCAACAUUACAGAAUCUGCAUGCACAUGUGCUGCCUGAGCUUUAAAAGACAAGUACAGCUUUAACACCGGAGGUUUGUGUGUAUAUAUGAGAGAUUGAAUAUACAAGUACAUGCACAUUUAAUCAGUUUCUUGGAUUAUGUUGCUGGGUAAAGUUGCAGUAGGGGAAGUGUUUAUUUGGAUCUCCUACACAGAAAGAAAUGUUCUGUAUAGUGUAACCACUCACUGUGGCAUUUUCAGCUUUAUUUUCUUCAUUACAAGCUGUAGCUUCUCCUGCUUUGAAAGUACAAUAAGAAGGAAGUUUGGACUGAACUGGUGUUGUGGAAAAUAAAGUUUUGUGCACAAGCCACUCUCUGAAUAAAUUCUGCUGUGGUAGUUUUCAAGCACCUCUGUAACUAAGCAAGUGCAACUCAAAUAGUCCUGCAUUCUUAUUCUAUUUGCUCCUGCCUUUCCUGUUUCUUCUGUGGUCAUAUUAGAUGGUAAGCUCCUUGAGACAGGGACCUACACUUCUGAAAUGUAAAAAUAAUCACAACAGUAGCCGUUUCACAACAGUAGACCUUUGUUUCUUCUAAGUAUGGUAUGUGAAACAGGACUGCUGCCUUUCUAUUUAUUUUAUUUUUAUUGAUUUAUUAAAUGUAUAUAACACCCUUCAUCCAUAGAUCUCAGGGCAGUUCACAACAUACACUGAACAGCACAAAUGAGUUGCUCUUGGAGUGACAGAUUUUCCUCAGGUUUGGAGGAACCCUGACUGCUAACAUGCUUCUUGGAGACCCUUUCUCUUUCCCCACAGCAGCCAAGCUUGUAUUCUGUUUCCUCUGUGUGAGCGCAUAUAGGAAGAAUUCUUUUGCUUAUAUUAUUCAUUCAGAGAAUGCAGUAAAACCGACAAAUCCAUAAGGGUGAUAAUAAUCCAAGUAUUUAUGCUGCAGAGUUAUCCAUGUGUAUAUUAACAGUGCAGAGCAGUCCAACUCUCCACAACAAAUAAUGGAAAUUGAAGUAAACAUUGAAGUUGAAACUAGAUUCUCACUUCUGUGCUUAUCCUUUUGGAGUAGCAUACUGUAGGUUUUUUACCCUGUGUGCUUGCAAAUACAGUAUAGGAGGGUUUUUUACAGAGAUUUUGAAGGGGUUGCAAUUUUGGUGUGACUGUUGCUCAGUCUUGAUGACAGAAAUGACUGAGAAUGCCAGUUUCAUUUAUAAAAAUUAUCCUAGCAAAUGCAUUUUUUAAAAAAACCCAGUAAAUGUAAUCAUAACAAUUCUGGGUCAAGAUAGUGGAUUUCUGAGUUUGUGAGGCUGUUGACCCUGAAAGUCAAUUUAGCAGCUAAUCUUCUGCCGCAUGAAAAUUACAGGUUUCUCCCAAUCUCUUCCAAGAUGAACAUUUGAAAUAAUCAAGCCAAUACGCUUUCAGUGUGGCUAAAUAAUUGCUAUUUAUAUUGUAAGAAACUACAUAAAGAUUAAAAAAGGUGCUCUGCUUCUGCUAACCACAAUUUGAGGCAGUAGUUUUCUAGCAUAUUUUGAUCCUUCAUGGGGUGAUACAGCAAAAUUAAGAUUUAAGAGAAAUUAAACAGUAAAAAUCGCAAAAUAAAAUUGAGAAAUUAUGCAAAUUGGUUCGUUUGCAUACUUAAUGCCGAACGUAGGUAUCAGCUUUUGGUGCAGGAUUUUAAUUUUUGUAGGACAGAUAUGUCCAUUCCAUAUAGAGCCUUUAAGUAAACAGUAUUUCUGUAGCUGGCUGUUCAGGGGGGCAUACAUUUUGUUGACAUUCAUGAGGACAUGUUUUACAAAAGAGAAGUAGAGGGAAGGUGAUUUAAAAUGUUUGUGAUCAGCCACACACAGAGAGACUAGUCAUUGCAGCUCUUUUCUCCAUAAUUUCCAUAAUUAAAUAGGGUAAGUUAAUGCAAUAAUUCCCAGUUGCUUAAAUGGAGGAUAAAGAAACAUACACAACUUUGUGGGAAAUGUGUACAUUGUGGAUCCAAUAAAGCCUUGAAUUUCCCUAACAUUUUUAAAUAGUCCAAAUAGUAGUUAGCCAAAACGGUUGCCUUAAAUGGAUUAGAGAAAAUAAUGUAAGAUGAAAAUUGUGCUUGCUAGGGAAGGCAGGAAUAUAGUAAAAUGGUGGCAGAGCAAUAGUACAGUAGGGUGCAUUUUAGCCAGGCCAAUGUCAAGGAUUUCCACACACGUUGGCACCACACAUCCCUUUCCAUCCUUUAUGCUGGCAAGCGGAAUACAGCAUCACAGGACCCAUUGCAAGGAGGGCCUGGAGCAGGGCCUACCGCAUAGACAGAUUCAUCCCUCUGCAUUAAGCCAUAGUUAAAAUAAAGCCUUGACUUGCUUCCCCAAACAAACUGCAGGUGGCAAACCAAGAACACACCUUUGUUUCUGCUUGUGGUUUGUCUGGAGAGAAACAACCCGUGAUCCUGGGCUUGGAAGGACACAACAAACCAGGCUAUGGGAGGAAUUCAGCACCAUACUGUUAUGAUACUUACCAUCACAAGCAUUUGUGUUUGCCAGAUGGAACUAUCCCCCCCACCCUCACUCCUAUGGGGGUUCUUCUGCCUCCUCCAACCAAUUUGAGGGGGCAGGGGAGGAGACUGGGUUAUGUUGUGCUAGCAGUUAAGUUUAGUUGAAUCUGACCAUGUGGCUUGGUUUUUUCCAGCAGCUCAGGUAUUGUAGAGAAGUACCUGUGAUUUCAGCAACAUGUACCAACACACUGCUCAUUCACUUUAAACUAUAGUUGACUUUUACUAUGGUUAAAGUGGUGUGUGAAUCAGACCAGUGAGUUGGAUCCUGACCAAGGUAAUCAUAUUAUCUUGGUUUGGGCACUGUAACUCCUGAUCUCCAAUAGCAAAAAAAACCCCCUGUGAAUAUACUUCCACUGUGUAAAGUAUUACUGUACUAGAUUUUACGUAAUUCUUUUCAGUCAUCAUCAUCAUCAUGUAUUAUUUAUACCCCACCCAUCUGGCUGGGUUUCCCCAGCCACUCUGGGCGGCUUCCAACCGAAUAUUAAAAACAAUACAGCAUCAAACAUUAAAAACUUCCCUAAACAGGGCCGCCUUCAGUUGUCUUUUAAAAGUAAAAUAGUUGCUUAUUGCCUUGACAUCUGCUGGGAGGGUGUUCCACAGGACAGGUGCCACUACCAAGAAGGUCCUUUGCCUGGUUCCCUGUAACCUUACUUCUUGCAGUGAGGGAACCACCAGAAGGCCCUUGGCACUGGACCUCAGUGUCCGGGCUGGACGAUGGGGGAGGAGACGCUCCUUCAGGUAUACAGUACUGAGGCCGUUUAGGACUUUAAAGGUCAGCACCAACACUUUGAAUUGUGCUCAGAAGCAGAUUUCUUUUUUACACACACACACACACACACACACACACACACACAAUUUCUGUUUCUCAAAGAAAUUUCCAAUUUUAUAACUAAUUUAAUUCAGACCUUGGUCAAGCUCACAAUCGCUCUACAUUAUUAGUUAUUUUCCCAAUAGCAGUAUUAGGAUGCAGUAGCACCUCAGCAAAUAAAUAAGGUAUUUUCUAUGGUGGCACAGGCUUGAUUGGUACUACCACUAAAUUAAUCUAUAUUUCUGUUCUUUAAAGCAUGUAAUAUUCUGAAAGAUAGGCUGCUACCCUACAUUUUAUUAAUAUCUCAGUCCUCAUUUUAUAACAAACACCAGACUAUUCAAACAAUUAAUUUAGACAAACUAGCAUAAUACAUGCAAACCUAAGAACAUUAAAAUAACAGAAGAAUGCUAAAACUAUACAUUGCAAGCCUUCUGAAUAACACAUCAGUCCUUUGUGUGGAGUGAUAGCAGUAAAAUGGGGAAGUGGUGGUCUUGCUAUUUUGACUUUUCACAUAGGUAUGAUAUCACAGUAAAUGCUUUUUACAUGUUUUCUUACCCAUAGUUUGUGUGAACACUGCACAUGCACACACCCCUUUGUUUUUCCAUUUUAUUAGGAGGCCAUGUGAAAACAUCAUCCAGAAGAUUGUGCCAUCUUACCAUCUGUCUCAGCUCUCCCUGUCCUAAGUAUCCAUAUUUUGGGAUUUUGAAAAACAAAAAUGUGCUUCUUGAUAUAAUUAGCUUACAUAGCAAACCAAACAAACAGACAAACCAGUAUGCCCCCCCCCCCACAUGAUUUCUGGAUUCAGAACAAGAAUACUGUUAUUUUGGGGUUAGCUUUGGCUUUGCUUGGAAACUGAAUGCACAGGUAUUAUUAAUGCCUUCAGGUGUAAACAUUUUCCCCAUCUGUGGAAGACUUUGAUGUGGGCUCCAAACACCACUUCAUGAAAAAAGGAAGCUGCAGUUAAGAGACAAAAUGAAACUUGCUUCCUCCUAUUGCUGUUGGUGUUGACAACCAUUCCACUUCCAGACACUGCAUUCUAGCAGAAUGAAAUCAAGCAGCUAAAGCCUUUCUCCCAUUUUAUCUUACACAUCAGCAAUCUGGAAUGCUGCUUGGAAGCUGAGCCAAAAUUUGACAGUUCUGUCUAACUUUAUUAUACACAAUCUCUUCAAAAUAGUUACGCUUAGCACCAAAUGGUCAUGGCCACAUGCCCAUAGCCUUUUUAUUAAGCUAAAAUGAUGAUUGAGCAACUAUCUUAAACUGAACUGGCUACGUGAUGCACAUAGAUUUUACGAGAGUGGGCUGUCUGGCAGCAGAAGUGUAGUCACUGUGAACGUGAAUAUGAUUUUACAAGUUUUUGGAUUGUUUACGUCUGAAGUUUGCUUUUCUAAUGAACUGUAGUGUUGGGCUUAUGCUGCAUUCCAGUUCAGCAAAGAUGGACUGGAAUAUUUUCUUAAUGUCAUUGUCACCGGAAUUCUUCCAAAGUAAAACCAGUUCUAAGGCUAUGCUCAAGGUUAGGCCAAAUAAAAAUGCAGUUCAGGGAUAUUUAGCCUCCUUUGUUUCACUGGCUUCUUAAGGUCAGCAUUAGGGAUGCAUAUUGAUGUUUUUGCCUGGCCUAGUAAAAUUAUCUUGAAUUUAUUGGUAGUUGUAGAUUAUCGGCUAGAAUUCAAACUGGAAUAGUUUUAAAGAGACUUUUUGGGAGUGUGACCAUUCUGAUUGCCUGCAGACAUAUUGCUUGGCUAAGGUUCAGGCCUCCUUAUGUAAUGGUAUCUUGGAAGGGAUGCAGGCCUGGGGUGUUUUUUUUCAGAGCAGGUGUGAUUAUACUAUUGUCUCAGCUCCCAGCUAUAAUUGACUGGACCUUCCUCACUUUUGCAAGUGAAUAAGCUGACGAUGAGGCACUUUUUGUGACAUAUUAGCUUAAAGAAAGUAAGAAAUAAGCAGAGGUUGGAUCCUUUCUUAUUUUUCUUUUAUGGAGUUCCUAGUUUAAAUGGUAAUAUUUCUUUGAAAGAUGGUUUGCAUUUCUAAUUUAAAAACCAAAGGGUGAAAAUCUUUUUUUUUUUUAAUGAUAUUUAUUAAAAUUUCAGAAAAAAGAGUUACAU